rnacentral:lncRNA from 1 species
UGCUUCUGUUUGCCUCUUCCUCUGGCUGGCCCCGUGUCCCCAAGUGCUACUGUCACUACUGUAACCCGGAAGUGGACAACAGGAACGACCCCUGCUGUGCUUUCUAGUGCGCGUCCUUCUGCCCAACUCAACCUUCAGGGGCCUCCACCUCCCAGAGAAUCCUCUGUCCCCUGGAUGGCCAGCGUGGAGGGUGGCAGCAGCUCUGUCUGCCUCUUUGAGGCCGCGUUAGAGGAUGGGCCCAGAGUAGCCGAGUGAACCUCUUGGGGGGUCUCCAGACAUUGCCGAUCCCCCCAAUUAAAUGCACACUUGUUGAAUGGC